rfam:Dipodomys ordii contig_12441, whole genome shotgun sequence.
GGUGGCUCAGAGGUAGAGCACUUGCCUUGCAUGCAUGAGGCCCUGGGUUCAAUUCCUCAGCACCA